AGCUUUAGAAAGUGACUUUUCGAUCAUUCGCCUAUCAAAGCUAAGUGUGUUGCUGUUAAUUUACUUUUUUC